rnacentral:rRNA from 1 species
UUAGAGUUUGAUCCUGGCUCAGAUUGAACGCUGGCGGCAGGCCUAACACAUGCAAGUCGAGCGGAAACGACACUAACAAUCCUUCGGGUGCGUUAAUGGGCGUCGAGCGGCGGACGGGUGAGUAAUGCCUAGGAAAUUGCCUUGAUGUGGGGGAUAACCAUUGGAAACGAUGGCUAAUACCGCAUGAUGCCUACGGGCCAAAGAGGGGGACCUUCGGGCCUCUCGCGUCAAGAUAUGCCUAGGUGGGAUUAGCUAGUUGGUGAGGUAAUGGCUCACCAAGGCGACGAUCCCUAGCUGGUCUGAGAGGAUGAUCAGCCACACUGGAACUGAGACACGGUCCAGACUCCUACGGGAGGCAGCAGUGGGGAAUAUUGCACAAUGGGCGCAAGCCUGAUGCAGCCAUGCCGCGUGUAUGAAGAAGGCCUUCGGGUUGUAAAGUACUUUCAGUUGUGAGGAAGGGUGUGUAGUUAAUAGCUGCACAUCGAGACGUAGCAACAGAAGAGCACCGCA